rnacentral:rRNA from 1 species
UCGCACGGUCAGCAAUGGCAGUGGCGGACGGGUGAGUAACACGUAGGAAUCUAUCCCAGGGNUGGGGGACAACAGCGGGAAACUGCUGCUAAUACCGCAUGAUACCUGAGGGUCAAAGGCGCAAGUCGCCUUGGGAGGAGCCUGCGUCUGAUUAGCUUGUUGGUGAGGUAAAGGCUCACCAAGGCUACGAUCAGUAGCUGGUCUGAGAGGACGACCAGCCACACUGGGACUGAGACACGGCCCAGACUCCUACGGGAGGCAGCAGUGGGGAAUNUUGGACAAUGGGCGANAGCCUGAUGCAGCAACGCCGCGUGAGGGAUGACGGCCUUCGGGUUGUAACCUCUUUUAGUAGGGAAGAAAGCGAAGUGACGGUACCUGCAGAANAAGCACCGGCUAACUACGUG